AACGAUGAAACUUAAAUGAAUUCUUCGGAAUGAUUUUAAUUGGAUUAGUGGCGAACGGGUGAGUAACGCGUGAGUAACCUGCCUUACACAAGGGGAUAGCCUCUGGAAACGGAGAAUAAUACCCUAUGAAACUAUCUUAUCGCAUGAAAAGAUAGUCAAAGUGUUUUAGCGGUGUAAGAUGGACUUGCGUCUGAUUAGCUAGUUGGUGAGAUAACAGCCCACCAAGGCAACGAUCAGUAGCCGGCUUGAGAGAGUGUACGGCCACAUUGGGACUGAGACACGGCCCAGACUCCUACGGGAGGCAGCAGUGGGGAAUUUUGCACAAUGGGGGCAACCCUGAUGCAGCGACGCCGCGUGAUUUAGAAGGCCUUCGGGUUGUAAAAAUCUUUUGUAUAGGAAGAAAAUGACAGUACUAUACGAAUAAGGUCCGGCUAAUUACGUGCCAGCAGCCGCGGUAAUACGUAAGGACCGAGCGUUGUCCGGAAUCAUUGGGCGUAAAGGGUACGUAGGCGGUUAGAAAAGUUAGAAGUGAAAGGCUAUAGCUCAACUAUAGUAAGCUUUUAAAACUGUUUAACUUGAGAGAUGGAAGGGAAAGUGGAAUUCCUAGUGUAGCGGCGAAAUGCGCAGAUAUUAGGAGGAAUACCGGUGGCGAAGGCGACUUUCUGGCCAUUAUCUGACGCUGAGGUACGAAAGCGUGGGUAGCAAACAGGAUUAGAUACCCUGGU
rnacentral:rRNA from 1 species